AACAAACGCUGGCGGCGUGCCUAAUACAUGCAAGUCGAACGGGGAAAGCUUUCGGGUGAGUACUAGUGGCGCACGGGUGAGUAACGCGUGGAUAAUCUGCCUUAGAGUGGGGGAUAACUAGUCGAAAGAUUAGCUAAUACCGCAUAAGACCACAAGAACUGCGGUUCAAGAGGUCAAAGGUUUUUCGCUCUAAGAUGAGUCCGCGCAAGAGUAGCUAGUUGGUGAGGUAACGGCUCACCAAGGCAACGAUCUUUAACUGGUCUGAGAGGAUGAUCAGUCACACUGGAACUGAGACACGGUCCAGACUCCUACGGGAGGCAGCAGUAGGGAAUAUUGCACAAUGGAGGAAACUCUGAUGCAGCGACGCCGCGUGAGUGAUGAAGGCCUUCGGGUCGUAAAGCUCUGUGGCAGGGGAAUAACACAAUGAAUGUACCCUGUAAGAAAGGAUCGGCUAACUUCGUGCCAGCAGCCGCCGUAAUAC
rnacentral:rRNA from 1 species